rnacentral:rRNA from 1 species
AUGUGUGCUGACAUUUCAUUGUUCACUUCUUACCAGGUCACAGGCCACGGGUCCGUAUUGAUGGGGAAUGGCGCGAGUGCUUCUGUUCAUGGUGUUCGCACGGUCGAUCUGAAGUUUACUUCGGGAAGGAUCGUGCAGCUGAAGAACGUGCAGCAUGUCCCCGCCAUCAAGAAGAACCUCGUUCGUGGCUCCCUUCUAUGUAGAGAAGGGUUUAAGUUGGUCUUCGAGUCUAAUAAAUUAGUUGUUACGAAAUAUGGACUCUUUGUUGGAAAAGGUUAUGAGAGCGGAGGGAUGUUCCGCCUUUCCCUCGCAGAGUUUUGUAAUAAAGUCAUGAACCAUAUUCAUUUGAAUGUUAAUGAAUCUGAAGUUUGGCAUUCACGUCUUUGUCACAUUAGUUUCGGUGUUAUGACGCGGCUAGCUAAGUUGGAUUUAAUCCAGAGUUUCACUUUAGCCAAAGGUUCUAAGUGCCUUUCAUGUGUGCAAGCUAAGCAACCUCGCAAGCCUCAUAAGGCCGCGGAGGAGAGACACUUGGCACCAUUAGAACUCAUACAUUCUGAUCUUUGUGAGAUGAAUGGUGUGUUGACUAAAGGUGGAAAGAAAUACUUCAUGACAUUGAUAGAUGAUUCCACUAGAUAUUGCUAUGUGUAUCUGUUAAAUACUAAAGAUGAGGCUCUACACUACUUUAAAAUCUAUAAGGCAGAAGUUGAGAAUCAACUUGAAAAGAAAAUUAAACGAGUCCGAUCAGAUCGUGGUGGAGAGUACUUCUCGAGUGAGUUUGAUUCCUUCUGUUCGGAACACGGCAUUAUUCAUGAGAGGACGCCUACCUAUUCACCCCAGUCAAACGGGGUUGCCGAGCGGAAAAACCGUACUCUAACUGAUUUGGUUAACGCCAUGUUAGAUACAUCGGAUUUAUCCAAGGCAUGGUGGGGGAGGCUAUAUUGA